rnacentral:rRNA from 1 species
UACGUAGGGUGCGAGCGUUGUCCGGAAUUAUUGGGCGUAAAGGGCUCGUAGGCGGUUUGUUGCGUCGGGAGUGAAAACUCAGGGCUUAACCCUGAGCCUGCUUCCGAUACGGGCAGACUAGAGGUAUGCAGGGGAGAACGGAAUUCCUGGUGUAGCGGUGAAAUGCGCAGAUAUCAGGAGGAACACCGGUGGCGAAGGCGGGUCUCUGGGCAGUAACUGACGCUGAGGAGCGAAAGCGUGGGGAGCGAACAGG